rnacentral:ncRNA from 3 species
AAAUUGAAGAGUUUGAUC